UGAAACAGAAAAGCAAGUAAGCGCCCUUUGAAGUAAACAAUGCCAAUAGGGAGAUAUUCAAUAUCAAAUUAAAAAGAAACAACUAACAGCAUCCUGAAUUUUAAAUAAAAGGUGUGAUAGAAAAUAUACAGAUGUUUAACAGAAAGACAAAUCUUGAGUAGUCAAACGCUCAUUAAAUUACAUACAACUUUCCAUUUAUCUUGAGGACUUAA
rnacentral:misc_RNA from 1 species